UAGCGCUUAUCUUGGGCUUCAACGUUUGAAUGAGCAGCGACCCCUUCUUCUUCCAUUUCCUCAAGACUCACUGGAGAACACGCACACACACACUCGCGUUCUCAAGCGAAAAAUAAGAAAAAAAAACUCACAAAAAAAUUCUGCUGCUUUUGAGUCUCGAGUUUUUUAGACAAAUUCCGGACAGAAAUUCCGGAUUUUUGGGUUUCAAAGAUGAGGUUCAACUAAUUUGAGGUUCGUUCGAGGUCGUCGGUGUAGUUUCUGAGUCCGUCAAGGUCCGGUGCGUCGAGGUGCCGUUCAAGGUUAUUUUCAUGGUUCACGGAUCAAACUCUUGCUGUUGUUGCAUUUUUGGUCAGAUUUAGUUCGUCGAAAUUUGCCAUAACUGAAUUCUCGUUAAUACUAAUGAGUUAAUUGUUGAGGACCGAAAACCUUGGACGAACGACGGAACAGGGACCUCAGACAGCUACCUCCGGCUACCUCGAAGCUCGCCGGAAAGUUAAAAAAAUAGCCGGAUCUGAAAGUCCGCGAGAAUCAGAAAGUCAUACGCACACGCCGCUUUUUCCACGGCGACGAGCUGCAGUUUGAGCUACUAUUUUCAUAUUCUUAGGGCUGGUUUUACAGCUGGUUGUGGUGGUGUUAUAACAGACUUUUAUACUUGCUCAUCAAACGGAAAAUGAGAGGCGAUUUCAGGAGCAGUAACGGCCAGAGAUUCGUUGUCUUCCUGCGGUUCAACACUUUUUAGUUCCUUUGUGACAGAGAGCCCAUCGUGUGGAUCUACAUGCGGCUCCGAGGGAAUUGCAGCUGGCGGUGAUUCAAGUUUGUUUAUCUAAUGCAGGUCAUUAUCAACAGCUAGUGGUGGUGAGCAGCUGGCAGAGCUGCUGUGGAGAAGAAUGAUAUGCUAAGGCCUUAGGGUGUCUAGACGCGGCUGCUGCUGCUUCUUUUCUUAGGGUUCUCUUGUGUUUAUGUUAAGGAAGAUGAAGGAAAAGGGUCGUUGGUUGCAGCUCAAAGAAGAUGACUAAGCUUCAGUAUGUAAGAAACGGCUGGAAGAUGUUUUCCUCCUUAUCUCUCUAGCGUUAGGUUUUUGUGUAUUUUUUGGCUGAUCUCCUAAAAAUGUGUCUCCUUUCGCUGAUAGCUUCCCCCGAUCCCUUUUUCACGGCUCAUGGUUGUGUGUAUAUAGGUUAGGUUUUUUGGUAGGAUUUUAGAUUAAGGGGUAUGAUCCUAGGAAUUAUGGGCUUGAAAAUUAUGGCCUAAAAAUGAGUUGCUCGAGUCCA